rnacentral:lncRNA from 1 species
CAAAAACAGCAAAAUUUCCUUAAAAUUACCAUUUCAGGGGCAGCAACCCAACAACAGAAUGUCUGAUUCAUCUGAAAAUUUCAGGGCAGCUAGAUCUUGACCUGAUGAACAAUUUUACCCCAUGUCAGAUUUGCUCUAAAUGCUUUGGUUUUUGAGUUAUAAGCCAAAAACUGCAUUUUACCCCUAUGUUCUAUUUUAGCCAUGGCGGCCAUCUUGGUUGAUUGGGCGGGGCACCAGACACAUUUUUUAAACUAGAUACCCCAAUGAUAAUUAUGGCCAAGUUUGGUUAAAUUUGGCCCAGUAGUUUCAGAGUAGAAGAUUUUUCUAAAAGAUUACUAAGAUUUACGAAAAAUGGUUAAAAAUUGACUAUAAAGGGCAAUAACUCCUAAAGUGGUCAACUGACCAUUUUGGUCAUGUUGACUUAUUUGUAGAUCUUACUUUGCUGAACAUUAUUGCUGUUUACAGUUUAUCUCUAUCUAUAAUAAUAUUCAAGAUAAUAACCAAAACGCAGAAAAUUUCCUUAAAAUUACCAUUUCAGGGGCAGCAACCCAACAACGAAAUGUCCGAUUCAUCUGAAAAUUUCAGGGCAGAUAGAUCUUGACCUGAUGAACAAUAUUACUCCUGUCAGAUUUGCUCUAAAUGCUUUGGUUUUUGAGUUAUAAGCCAAAAACUGCAUUUUACCCCUAUGUUCUAUUUUUAGCCAUGGCGGCCAUCUUGGUUGGUUGGCCGGGUCACCGGACACAUUUUUUAAAUUAGAUACCCCAAUGAUGAUUGUGGCCAAGUUUCGUUAAAUUUGGCCCAGUAGUUUCAGAGGAGAAGAUUUUUGUAAAAGUUAACGCAGGACGACGACGACGGACGCCGGACGCCAAGUGAUGAGAAAAGCUCACUUGGCC